CUGUGGGUGUGACACCAAUGCCACCCCCGUGGGUGUGACACCACUGCCACCCCCGUGGGUGUGACACCAGUGCCACCCCUGUGAGGGUGCUCAGGAUGCAGAGCAGGUUUUCGGACAGGUUUUCCACUCCCUGUGAUUCUCUUCUCCCUGGAAAAGGCUCUCUGUCUGCUGGGCUCAGGGAGAAGAACCGAACAAUUCUAAGGCGGGUCAGACCCGGAGCCGAGGAUUUCCCAGAAUUCCCAGGCUGAGGAGAUUCCAGCAGCUCCCAUAGGGACAUCCAUGGGUGUCCCCAGCACCGCGGGGCUCCGGCAGCUCCGAUCCCAAAUCCCAAAUCCCAGAUCCCAAAUCCCAGUUCCCAGAUCCCAG